rnacentral:sRNA from 1 species
GCUGGGCACAGUGGCAUGUGCCUGUAAUCCCAGCAACUCCAGAGGCUGAGACAGGAGGAUCAAAGCCAGCCUCUGCAAGUUAGUGAGACCCUGUUUCCA